rnacentral:rRNA from 1 species
AUGGCUGUCGUCAGCUCGUGUCGUGAGAUGUUGGUUAAGUCCCGCAACGAGCGCAACCCUUGUCCUUAGUUGCCAUCAUUUAGUUGGGCACUCUAAGGAGACUGCCGGUGUUAAACCGGAGGAAGUGGGGAUGACGUCAAGUCCUCAUGGCCCUUAUGUCCAGGGCUACACACGUGCUACAAUGGCCGGUACAAAGGGCAGCAAAGCCGCGAGGUGGAGCCAAUCCCAGAAAGCCGGUCUCAGUUCGGAUUGGAGUCUGCAACUCGACUCCAUGAAGUUGGAAUCGCUAGUAAUCGCGGAUCAGCAUGCUGCGGUGAAUACGUUCCCGGGCCUU